UACGUAGGGUCCGAGCGUUGUCCGGAAUUACUGGGCGUAAAGAGCUCGUAGGUGGUUUGUCACGUUGUUCGUGAAAACCCACAGCUCAACUGUGGGCGUGCGAGCGAUACGGGCAGACUAGAGUACUGCAGGGGAGACUGGAAUUCCUGGUGUAGCGGUGGAAUGCGCAGAUAUCAGGAGGAACACCGAUGGCGGAGGCAGAUCUCUGGGCCGUAACUGACGCUGAGGAGCGAGAGCGUGGGGAGCGAACAGG
rnacentral:rRNA from 1 species